AACCCCAAGGCUUGCAGGGCCAGGCCAGGCACUCCUGCUUCAAGCUCAAGUGAGGGUUGCAGCCUUCGGUGGGUCUGAGAGUGGGGCAGACCAUUCACCCUUCUUCUGAAUAUGCACCCCGAUUCGUCUCGCUUAGAUACAACGACCUCCAUCAGUUUGAGCUUCCCGGGCCCACCAGAGUCAUCGAGUGGACGGGAGACCAGCGCAUCUGUGUAGCUGGAUAUGGGGACGGGGGCAGGAACGAAAUUCUGCAGCUCCUUCUGCCUCUGAGGCUCCUCGCGAAGCAGAAUAAGGGUUUAUGUCCAGAGAGAGAUUUCAAGGUUGAGCGGGGUGGAAUGUGCGAUCGCCCUGUGUACGGGCUGAAACACGUCCCAGGAAGCAGCUUGCUGGUGACCAGUGGCCCGCCGGACAGUGCGCUGCAGGUCUGGCGCAUGGAACCAGAUGAAACAGGUGUGUGAGCAGAAACUGCUCAAC